ACGGGUGAGUAAUGUCUGGGAAACUGCCUGAUGGAGGGGGAUAACUACUGGAAACGGUAGCUAAUACCGCAUAACGUCGAAAGACCAAAGAGGGGGACCUUCGGGCCUCUUGCCAUCGGAUGUGCCCAGAUGGGAUUAGCUUGUUGGUGGGGUAAUGGCUCACCAAGGCGACGAUCCCUAGCUGGUCUGAGAGGAUGACCAGCCACACUGGAACUGAGACACGGUCCAGACUCCUACGGGAGGCAGCAUG
rnacentral:rRNA from 1 species